GCACACACACAGAGAGAACAUAAAAAAGAGGGAAAUCCUAUCAUUUGUGACAAAGUGGAUGGACCUUGAGGGCAUUAUGCUAAGUGAAAUAAGUCAAACAG